CUGCUGAGGACAAAUGAAAUGAAUAUGAGCAUCGAGGGCACCCGCUGUAGCAAUCAAUCCUUCCCCGGCGAUUAUUUCUGUCGCCGGGCCGAUAAUGAUACCAACAUUCGAUUGAAUGUCAGGAUUACCGGCUUUACCAAUACCCGCAAUCCUGCCGGACUUGAUUCCAAUGUCAGCCUUGACGAUGCCCCAGUGAUCGAGGAUCAAGGCAUUCGUAAUCACAACAUCCAUCGAAUCCUUUGAAGUUCUUUGGCUCUGUCCCAUUCCGUCCC
rnacentral:sRNA from 1 species